GAUGAACGCUAGCGGCAGGCCUAAUACAUGCAAGUCGAGCGGCAAGUCGAGGAGUGAUCUAAGACCUAGAGCGGCGCACGGGUGCGUAACGCGUAUGCAACCUACCUUAUACUGGGGGAUAGCCCGGAGAAAUCUGGAUUAAUACCCCAUGGCACAUAUUGAUGGCAUCUGAGUUCUGUUAAAGAUUUAUUGGUAUAAGAUGGGCAUGCGUCUGAUUAGCUAGUUGGCGGUGUAACGGACCACCAAGGAGACGAUCAGUAGGGGUUCUGAGAGGAAGGUCCCCCACACUGGCACUGAGAUACGGGCCAGACUCCUACGGGAGGCAGCAGUAGGGAAUAUUGGGCAAUGGUCGGAAGACGGACCCAGCCAUGCCGCGUGCAGGAAGAAGGCCCUCUGGGUUGUAAACUGCUUUUAUCUGGGAAGAAAAAGGCCAUGCGUGGCAAAUUGCCGGUACCAGAUGAAUAAGCACCGGCUAACUCCGUGCCAGCCGCCGCCGUAA
rnacentral:rRNA from 1 species